rnacentral:ncRNA from 1 species
CUAUGAUUAUAAGUUAAUCAUGGCGGAAGGAG